rnacentral:tRNA from 1 species
GCGAAUGUCGUAUAGUGGUUAUUACUCUAGCCUUCCAAGUUAUAGACGUGGGUUCGAUUCCCACCAUUCGCU